rnacentral:rRNA from 1 species
GAUGAACGCUGGCGGCGUGCCUAAUACAUGCAAGUCGAGCGAACAGACGAGGAGCUUGCUCCUUUGACGUUAGCGGCGGACGGGUGAGUAACACGUGGGUAACCUACCUAUAAGACUGGGAUAACUUCGGGAAACCGGAGCUAAUACCGGAUAAUAUUUCGAACCGCAUGGUUCGAUAGUGAAAGAUGGCUUUGCUAUCACUUAUAGAUGGACCUGCGCCGUAUUAGCUAGUUGGUAAGGUAACGGCUUACCAAGGCAACGAUACGUAGCCGACCUGAGAGGGUGAACGGAAACACGAGAACGUAGACACGGUCCAGAAGGCAACGGGAGGCGGCAGGAGGGAAGCUUCAGAAAGGGGCGAAAUCCGGACAGAGCAAAGACGCGGGAGGAAUGAAGGGAUACGGAUCGUAAAACUCUGUUAUUAGGGAAGAACAAACGUGUAAGUAACUAUGCACGUCUUGACGGUACCUAAUCGGAAAGAAAAGGCUAACUACGUG